rnacentral:rRNA from 1 species
UUGACCUCGGAUCAGGUAGGGAUACCCGCUGAACUUAAGCAUAUCAAUAAGCGGAGGAAAAGAAACCAACAGGGAUUGCCCCAGUAACGGCGAGUGAAGCGGCAAGAGCUCAAAUUUGAAAGCUGGCUCCUUCGGGGUCCGCAUUGUAAUUUGCAGAGGAUGCUUCGGGAGCGGUCCCCAUCUAAGUUCCCUGGAACGGGACGUCAUAGAGGGUGAAAAUCCCGUAUGGGAUGGGGUGUCCGCGCCCGUGUGAAGCUCCUUCGACGAGUCGAGUUGUUUGGGAAUGCAGCUCUAAAUGGGUGGUAAAUUUCAUCUAAAGCUAAAUAUUGGCCGGAGACCGAUAGCGCACAAGUAGAGUGAUCGAAAGAUGAAAAGCACUUUGAAAAGAGAGUUAAAAAGCACGUGAAAUUGUUGAAAGGGAAGCGCUUGCGACCAGACUCGCUCGCGGGGUUCAGCCGGCAUUCGUGCCGGUGUACUUCCCCGCGGGCGGGCCAACGUCGGUUUGGGCGGUCGGUCAAAGGCCCUCGGAAGGUAACGCCCCCAGGGGCGUCUUAUAGCCGAGGGUGCAAUGCGACCUGCCUAGACCGAGGAACGCGCUUCGGCUCGGACGUUGGCAUAAUGGUCGUAAGCGACC